rnacentral:rRNA from 1 species
CCUACGGGUGGCUGCAGUAAGGAAUAUUGGACAAUGGCCGCAAGGCUGAUCCAGCCAUCCAGCGUGCAGGAAGAAGGCCCUAUGGGUUGUAAACUGCUUUUAUCAGGGAAUAAACCUCUGGAUUCACUCCGGAGCUGAAGGUACCUGAAGAAUAAGCACCGGCUAACUCCGUGCCAGCAGCCGCGGUAAUACGGAGGGUGCGAGCGUUAUCCGGAUUCACUGGGUUUAAAGGGAGCGUAGGUGGCUUUGUAAGUCAGUGGUGAAAUGCCGCAGCUCAACUGCGGAACUGCCAUUGAUACUGCUUAGCUUGAAUCACGUCGAGGUGGAUGGAAUAAUACAUGUAGCGGUGAAAUGCUUAGAUAUGUAUUAGAACACCGAUUGCGAAGGCAGUUCACUAGGCGUUUAUUGACACUGAGGCUCGAAAGCGUGGGGAUCAAACAGGAUUAGAUACCCGAGUAGUC